GACAGAGGUGCCGAGCGUUAGGCGGAAUCACUGGGCUUAAAGCGUGUGUAGGCGGAUCGUUAAGUACCUUGUGAAAUCCCACGGCUUAACCGUGGAACUGCUGGGUAUACUGGCGAUCUUGAGCCACCUAGGGGCAACCGGAACAAAUGGUGGAGCGGUGAAAUGCGUAGAUAUCAUUUGGAACGCCAAUGGUGAAAACAGGUUGCUGGGAGUGUGCUGACGCUGAGACACGAAAGCCAGGGGAGCGAACGGG
rnacentral:rRNA from 1 species